rnacentral:lncRNA from 1 species
AGCACAUCCGUUUUCCUUACAGUAUGUAGUACGCAUUCUACCUUUUCCUACAAUGAAUCCACCAGCAGAAAUUCCUGUACACAUCUUAUCAACAAAGAAUUUGAACCUCAAAGAGACUAGCAAGUACACAGGACCACUGUACAGUAACAGAUCAGUUACACUGAGACAACAGAGUUUACAGCAGAGAAAGAGUUUAAUGCUCACCGGAUACCAAGUGGCUCAAAGAGGUCAGGAGGCACCUUCAACACUUUUAUUGGAGAUCUCCUUGUCUAGAUCAUCAGAUUCUCACUGUGUUACCUAGGCUGCAGUGCAGUGGUGCGAUCUCAACUCACUGCAACCUCUACCUCCUGGGUUCAAGCAAUUCUCCUGCCUCAGCCUCCCAAGUAGCUGGGAUUAC